rnacentral:rRNA from 1 species
GAUGAACGCUGGCGGCGUGCCUAAUACAUGCAAGUCGAGCGAACGGACGAGAAGCUUGCUUCUCUGAUGUUAGCGGCGGACGGGGGAGUAACACGUGGAUAACCUACCUAUAAUACUGGGAUAACUUCGGGAAACCGGAGCUAAUACCGGAUAAUAUUUUGAACCGCAUGGUUCAAAAGUGAAAGACGGUCUUGCUGUCACUUAUAGAUGGAUCCGCGCUGCAUUAGCUAGUUGGUAAGGUAACGGCUUACCAAGGCAACGAUGCAUAGCCGACCUGAGAGGGUGAUCGGCCACACUGGAACUGAGACACGGUCCAGACUCCUACGGGAGGCAGCAGUAGGGAAUCUUCCGCAAUGGGCGAGAGCCUGACGGAGCAACGCCGCGUGAGUGAUGAAGGUCUUCGGAUCGUAAAACUCUGUUAUUAGGGAAGAACAUAUGUGUAAGUAACUGUGCACAGCUUGACGGUACCUAAUCAGAAAGCCACGGCUAACUACGUG